UACAGAGGUGGCAAGCGUUGUUCGGAAUUACUGGGCGUAAAGGGCGCGUAGGCGGCCCGUCAAGUCCCGUGUGAAAGCCCCCGGCUCAACCGGGGAAUGGCACGGGAAACUAGCAGGCUUGAGUUCGGGAGAGGGAAGCGGAAUUUCGGGUGUAGCGGUGAAAUGCGCAGAUAUCCGAAGGAACACCGGUGGCGAAGGCGGCUUCCUGGACCGACACUGACGCUGAGGCGCGAAAGCUAGGGGAGCAAACGGG
rnacentral:rRNA from 1 species